AUACGUAGGGUGCGAGCGUUAAUCGGAAUUACUGGGCGUAAAGCGUGCGCAGGCGGUUCGUUAAGUCUGAUGUGAAAGCCCCGGGCUCAACCUGGGAAUGGCAUUGGAAACUGGCGGGCUGGAGUGUGGCAGAGGGGGGUGGAAUUCCACGUGUAGCAGUGAAAUGCGUAGAGAUGUGGAGGAACACCGAUGGCGAAGACAACCCCCUGGGCCAACACUGACGCUCAGGCACGAAAGCGUGGGGAGC
rnacentral:rRNA from 1 species